ensembl:lncRNA
UCCUAGAAUAGCUUCCAAUCCACAGUUCUAGAUUACCUUCCUAUAAUCAAGGUGAAAUAUUGGUUGUCCUGACCCUAAGGGUUUCUCCACAGGAGAGCUCAUAACAUGAAUGCUUUAUUCUGUGUUUUUUCAUUUGUUGUCAUUGAGGAAAUACUCAUGUUUCCUUUUCCAAUGCCAUAGGUAUUUACAGUUCUUUAGCCAAGAGUUCUGGAGCUCAUGAUUCUGUAGUUAAGGAUCCUGGAACCACCAUUCAUCUGAAGGGGAUCCGAGGAGGUUCAGUCCUGUUCCAUGUGACCAAGGAGACAGCAGAAGCUGAUGUGCAGGAGAUCACUUGGAGCUUUGGUCCUGGCUCAGACUACAGCAUCAUGCUAAAAAUGCACCGUGGGUCAGAGACCCCGGAUUGGGUCAGCCUGCAGGACAAGUACAAACAGAGGGUCCAUGUGCCCAACAUGACAUCGCUGAGGAUUGAGAACUUGAUCUUACAGGACAGUGGGCCAUACAAGGCUCAGAUUACAUUAACUAAUGGAAAAGGAUCUGACCAAUUUUUUCACCUCAAUAUUUAUGGGACCUCAGAGCACCUGAAUGUGACCUGGAAGAGCAAGGGUCUUCCCAGGGAGCUGGAGCAGAGAGGGACACCAGGACCAGCUCCCAACCCCUGGACAUUAACUGUGAGGCUGCCCCACAGCCAUCUGCAUGCCAGCCUCACCUGUGUGGUCAGCAACUAUGUGGACCAGAAAAAUGCCACCUUAGAGCUUGGCAACAUUUGUGCCCAAGGUGAGUGCCACCUGCUGGAGGGGAGGGGCAACAUGGAGCUAAGGUAGCACAGGAGACUGAGGUCUCUGGGCUUUUCUCCCUGCCAUGUUUAAUGGCACCACCACGUUCACCUGAUCACCCGAUGUAGAAGUUCUGGAGGUACAUCCAUCUCACACUGGCCUUUAAAUGUCCCUCUCAAGUCCAUACCAUUCCCUGCUGGUCCAGAUAGUAGCCUUCUAGAACCUGCCUUAUUCCAUCCAUCAUACAUUGUGAGCUCAGAAUAGUCUUUGGACUAGUGGAUAGACUGUGUCACUUGUCUGUGUUGUCUCUGUGAUCUGACUUACAAUUGCUUUCUAUAGGACUUAGAAUUUCCUCUGCUUGUGCUGUUAGUCUCAUGUGGAAAUGUCACAGAACAGUUUGAUGUAGUUACCUGAAUGUAUGUAUGCUGCCAUUGUAAAGCAUCUCCUCUUGUAAGGAGCUGUCCAUGUCUCAUCCCAUAUACUGAGUAAUUUUGAUUUAUUUAUAUAUUUUAUUCCUCUGUAGACUGGAACACAUGAGUCACAAGAGCCACAUCUCUUUUUCCCUUGAAUUCUUGUGCUAAGCAUACCUUCUUUUCCCCUCUUUAUUCAUUUAUUCAUAUGUGCAUAUAUUGUUUGGGCCAUUUCUCCCCCCUGCUCCCUACCUUCUCCUUCUCCUCCCCUCCCCUCUUUCUUCAAGGCAGAACCUGUUCUGCCCUUUUCUCCAGUUUUUUUGAAGAGUAGAUAUAAGCAAUAAUAAGAAAGACAUAGCGUUUUUGCUAGUUGAGAUAAGGACAGCUAUACAGAGAGAUUCCUAGCAUUAAGCAUACCUUCUUGCCUGAGUUCACUCACAAUUGUUCUUUCAUUGAAUGAAUGAAUGUCCUGGGACCCUGUUUCAGCUUAUGCUCCUUAACCAUCCCUUAGGAACUGCUGGAGGGAUCUGACAUGUAGGUGUCAAUCAUAACCUGUUGUCACAUCCUGAUCCCUCUUUCUGUCUUGAAGUCUCAGGGAAAGUUUACCAUCUAGCAAGGCCUACAGGACCUUUUGGACU